AAGCUCGUAGUUGAAUUUCGGGAUCAGACUGUCGGUCGUGCCUCGGUACGCACUGGCAUUAUUGGUUCCUACCUUCUGAAGAACCGCGAUGUCAUUAAUUGGUGUCGCGGGGAAUCAGGACUAGUUACUUUGAAAAAAUUAGAGUGUUUAAAGCAGGCUUACGCUUGAAUACAUUAGCAUGGAAUAAUGAAAUAGGACGUUUGAUUUCUAUUUUGUUGGUUUCUAGGAUCGACGUAAUGAUUAAUAGGGAUAGUUGGG
rnacentral:rRNA from 1 species